ACGGAAGGGCAGCAGUGGGGGAUAUUGCACAAUGGGGGAAACCCUGAUGCAGCGACGCCGCGUGAGUGAAGAAGUAUUUCGGUAUGUAAAGCUCUAUCAGCAGGAAAGAUAAUGACGGUACCUGACUAAGAAGCACCGGCUAAAUACGUGCCAGCAGCCGCGGUAAUACGUAUGGUGCAAGCGUUAUCCGGAUUUACUGGGUGUAAAGGGAGCGUAGACGGCAUGGCAAGCCAGAUGUGAAAGGCUGGGGCCCAACUCCUGGACUGCAUUUGGAACUGUCAAGCUAGAGUAUCGGAGAGGUAAGUGGAAUUCCUAGUGUAGCGGUGAAAUGCGUAGAUAUUAGGAGGAACACCAGUGGCGAAGGCGGCUUGCUGGACGAUAACUGACGUUGAGGCUCGAAAGCGUGGGGAGCAAACAGGAUUAGAUACCCUGGUA
rnacentral:rRNA from 1 species